UCCGUAGGGGGCGAGCGUUGUCCGGAUUUAUUGGGCGUAAAGAGCUCGUAGGCGGUUUGGCAAGUCGGGUGUGAAAACUCCGGGCUCAACUCGGAGACGCCACUCGAUACUGCCAUGACUCGAGUCCGGUAGGGGAGUGCGGAAUUCCUGGUGUAGCGGUGAAAUGCGCAGAUAUCAGGAAGAACAUCGGUGGCGAAGGCGCUCUGCUGGACCAUAACUGACACUCAGGGACGAAAGCUAGGGGAGCGAAUGGG
rnacentral:rRNA from 1 species